UACGUAGGGGGGCGAGCGUUGUCCGGAAUUAUUGGGCGUAAAGAGCUCGUAGGCGGUUUGUCGCGUCUGCUGUGAAAUCCCGAGGCUCAACCUCGGGCCUGCAGUGGGUACGGGCAGACUGGAGUGCGGUAGGGGAGAAUGGAAUUCCUGGUGUAGCGGUGGAAUGCGCAGAUAUCAGGAGGAACACCGAUGGCGAAGGCAGUUCUCUGGGCCGUAACUGACGCUGAGGAGCGAAAGCAUGGGGAGCGAACAGG
rnacentral:rRNA from 1 species